rnacentral:lncRNA from 1 species
UGCACUGCGUGGUGCACUGACUUUGUGGCCAAAUACAGAAGUAAUGCCCAGCCUGCCCAUCAAACUAAGACGCUACACUGACUACGUCCAGAAGUGGUGGCCAGCCUGCUCAUCAAACUAAGGCGCUACACUGACUACAUCCAGAAGUGGUGGCCAGCCUGCUCAUCAAACUAAGGCGCUACACUGACUACAUCCAGAAGUGGUGGCCAGCCUGCUCAUCAAACUACGGCGCUACACUGACUACGUCCAGAAGUGGUGGCCAGCCUGCCCAUCAAACUAAGGCGCUACACUGACUGCGUCCAGAAGUGGUGGCCAGCCUGCUCAUCAAACUAAGGCACUACACUGAUUACGUCCUUGAUAUACAAGGACGACAUCAUUGAAGAACAUCAGUGCUGAUGGUUCGGCCAGACAAAGAACAAACCUUCCUGGAAGUCCGUGGGACACUGGGACGUUGCACGCCGGGGAGUGGGACAGCUCAAGCCCCGCUGCUCUUGAACAAUCAACAGCAUAAUGCCCAGCACCAUGAUUAUAAUAAUUAAUAUAUGCAAGAAAAAUUAGCAUUCAUUAAAUAUUCUUGAUUCAAGACUAGAAAAUAGGUGUCAGUGGACUGGUUUCCUGACAGUUGAGCUUGGCAUAUUAGGUGAUAACUUUUGAAUGAGAUUUAUUAUAUUAAUUAAGUGUGGUACAAUUAUUGAACACCGAGCUGGCUAGGGUUAUGACAAUGAAAUAUGUGAUAGACCAUUUAUUCGACCAAAUAAUACAUGAAAACUAUUUUUUUACACCUGAUAAUUCGCAUCAACUUAGUUAUAAAAAUCAAAUGUUUGUAUAAUCUUCUAGAUGUUUUGGAAAACUCAUGUGAAAGUUGAACUUGGCAAGUGAUUGGUUCCAUGAAAUUUAAAUUACCAGAAUUAAGAAGAUAAUAGCUGGAAUAAUUUGAACUCUUGAAUAAAAUCUGAUGCGGACUAUCCUUCAAACUCCUACAAGUAGAAGCACUAAAAACU